UACGGAGGAGGCAAGCGUCAUCCGGAAUUAUUGGGCGUAAAGCGUCCGUAGGUGGUUGUACAAGUCUUUUGUCAAAGCGCGAGGCUUAACUUCGUAAGGGCAGGAGAAACUGUAGAGCUAGAGUGCGGUAGGGGUAGAGGGAAUUCCCAGUGUAGCGGUGAAAUGCGUAGAUAUUGGGAAGAACACCGGUGGCGAAAGCGCUCUACUGGGCCUGCACUGACACUGAGGGACGAAAGCUAGGGGAGCGAAAGGG
rnacentral:rRNA from 1 species